GCAGUAAAGAUGACUUUAAAGACGGGCGGGGGAUGGAUCCUUUCAAACGUACUUGAGCUGGGAUGCCCAGCUUGUGGAACGCACAGCAGGAGGUGAGCAGUGGCCGAAGGAACAUCUGAAGGAACACCUGACGAGGCUGCACCCUUGGCAGAAAGAACACCUGACAUGGCUGAAAGCUUGGUGGAAAAACCACCUGAUGAGGCUGCACCCUUGGUGGAGGGAACAGCUGACAAAAUUCAAUGUUUGGGGAAAGCAACAUCUGGAAAGUUUGAACAGUCAGCAGAAGAAACACCUAAGAAAAUUAUGAGGACUGCAAAAGAAACAUCUGAGAAAUUUGCAUGGCCAGCAAAAGAAAGACCUAGGAAGAUCACAUGGGAGGAAAAAGAAACAUCUGUAAAGACUGAAUGCGUGGCAGGAGUAACACCUAAUAAAACUGAAGUUUUGGAAAAAGGAACAUCUAAGAUGCUCACAUGUCCUACAAAAGAAACAUCUACAAAAGCAAGUACAAAUGUGGAUGUGAGUUCUGUAGAGUCUAUAUUCAGGUUCAGCUUUUCAACAUUUCAAAUAUUUCAGGGCACUCUCUGCAGUGUUUUAGAGUGAAGGGAAGCAACAGGGCCUUCUUAAGUGGUUUUUAUGCUGAAAAACAAAGAAUGUCAUUUUCCAGUGACACAGAUUAGUCUUUGAAUCAGAGAUAGAUAAUGGAGAAGAAACAAGGAAUCCUGUCGACUUGAAUUUUGUAGUUUCU
rnacentral:lncRNA from 1 species